GUUCAAGUGGUUGAGUUUGUUAAGUUUCAUUCAGUUUGGUUGGGUACGAUAGAGGAGAAACAGAGUCCCUUCUCUACCUUACUAGUCGCGCAGGUCUUAGCAAGAAGACUCUACCACUAGUUCUGCGCUGCAGAGAGCACUAACUCCUCACAGAGUUAGCGACUCCAGCUCGAGCCUGAGCUCUCGCUUGUUGUCACUCGACUAACGUCGAUGUCAACAGGUAAUGAUCCUUCCGCAGGUUCACCUACGGAAA
rnacentral:misc_RNA from 1 species